rnacentral:rRNA from 1 species
GUGUUACAAUGGCAGGUACAGAGGGGUGCUACCGGGUGACCGGAUGCCGAUCUCGAAAACCUGUCCCAGUUCGGACUGGAGUCUGCAACCCGACUCCACGAAGUUGGAUUCGCUAGUAAUCGCGCAUCAGCCAUGGCGCGGUGAAUACGUUCCCGGGCCUUGUACACACCGCCCGUCAAGCCAUGGGAGCCGGGGGCGCCUGAAGUCCGGGACCGCGAGGACCGGCCUAGGGCGAAACUGGUGACUGGGGCUAAGUCGUAACAAGGUAUC